CAGCAGCCGCGGUAAUACGAAGGGUGCAAGCGUUAAUCGGAAUUACUGGGCGUAAAGCGUGCGUAGGCGGUGAGUUAAGUCUGCUGUGAAAUCCCCGGGCUCAACCUGGGAAUGGCAGUGGAUACUGGCUCGCUAGAGUGUGUCAGAGGAUGGUGGAAUUCCCGGUGUAGCGGUGAAAUGCGUAGAGAUCGGGAGGAGCAUCAGUGGCGAAGGCGGCCAUCUGGGACAACACUGACGCUGAGGCACGAAAGCGUGGGGAGCAAACAGGAUUAGAUACCCGCGUAGUCCCUGUCUCUUAUAC
rnacentral:rRNA from 1 species